UACGAAGGGGGGCUAGCGUUGCUCGGAAUCACUGGGCGUAAAGGGUGCGUAGGCGGGUCUUUAAGUCAGGGGGUGAAAUCCUGGAGCUCAACUCCAGAACUGCCUUUGAUACUGAAGAUCUUGAGUUCGGGAGAGGUGAGUGGAACUGCGAGUGUAGAGGUGAAAAUUCGUAGAUAUUCGCAAGAACACCAGUGGCGAAGGCGGCUCACUGGCCCGAUACUGACGCUGAGGCACGAAAAGCGUGGGGGAGCGAACAGGA
rnacentral:rRNA from 1 species